rnacentral:lncRNA from 1 species
UGAAGCAAGCCACAGCCACGAUCUCAGCAGCAAUGUGGAGUUGGAAAGGUAAUUAGAUAUUUACUGUCAAUCGCUGAAAUUUUCUACUCAUUGUACCUUUACCACAUUAUGUCACAGUCGCUGUGAUUUGGUUUUUUAGCUCAUUUCCUCCUGUAUCUGCAAGGAGCACUUCAGAAGUUUCCUCUGCAGCCACAAGAGGAGAGAGAUGACGUGUGUUGUUAUUGCAUCUCACAGAUCAGCCGAGCGCAGGCGUAGCUCCGUGGUAGUGAGUCUGCCAGGACUCGAGGUGUUCCCUGGAGACCUCCUGGUCUCAGACGGUGCCAUGGACUACCUGUCUCACGCAGCCCUCCUGCUAAGCACAGAGUCCAAAAAGCCACGGUGGCCAUUUGCCAAAAGAGGAGUUGGCAAAGACAAACAGAAGCAAGCAUCUGAUCUGGAAAACUGUCUUUCAACCAUUAAGAUGAUAGACUGC